AUUGAACGCUGGCGGCAGGCCUAACACAUGCAAGUCGAACGAGUGGCGGACGGGUGAGUAAUGUCUGGGAAACUGCCUGAUGGAGGGGGAUCACUACUGGAAACGGUAGCUAAUACCGCAUACCAUCGGCAGUGCCCAGAUGGGAUUAGCUAGUAGGUAGGGUAAAGGCUGACCAAGGCGAAGAUCCCUAGCGGUUCUGAGAGGAUGACCAGUCACCCUGGAACUGAGACACGGUCCAGAUUCCGACGGGAGGCAGCAUGGGGGAAAAGUGCGCAAUGGGCGAAAGCCUGAUGCAGCCAUGCCGCGUGUAUGAAGAAGGCCUUCGGUUUGUAAAGUACUUUCAGCUGGUAAACGUUACCCGCAGAAGAAGCACCGGCUAACUCCGUGCCAGCAGCCGCGGUAAUAC
rnacentral:rRNA from 1 species